rnacentral:rRNA from 1 species
CCCUUAGAUGUUCUGGGCUGCACGCGCGCUACACUGAAGCGUUCAACGAGUAUUCACCUUGCCCGGGAGGGUUGGGUAAUCUUUUGAAAACGCUUCGUGAUGGGGAUAGAUUAUUGCAAUUAUUAAUCUUCAACGAGGAAUUCCUAGUAAGCGCGAGUCAUCAGCUCGUGCUGAAUACGUCCCUGCCCUUUGUACACACCGCCCGUCGCUCCUACCGAUCGAAGAGUUAGGUGAAUUGUUUUGAUCGAUAAGAUUUGACUAUGGUCAACUCUCGUUGUGAAAUUCUGUGAAUCUGACUGUUUAGAGGAAGGAAAAGUCGUAACA